AAGCAUCUUCGGAUGUGUAUAAAGUGGCGAACAGCUGAGUAACACGUGGGCAACCUGCCCUUUGCACUGGGAUAGCCUCGGGAAACCGAGGUUAAUACCGGAUACUCCAUAUUUGUCGCAUGGCGAAUAUGGGAAAGCUCCGGCGGCAAAGGAUGGGCCCGCGGCCUGUUAGCUAGUUGGUGGGGUAGUGGCCUACCAAGGCAAUGAUGGGUAGCCGGGUUGAGAGACCGACCGGCCAGAUUGGGACUGAGACACGGCCCAGACUCCUACGGGAGGCAGCAGUGGGGAAUCUUGCACAAUGGGCGAAAGCCUGAUGCAGCGACGCCGCGUGCGGGAUGAAGGCCUUCGGGUUGUAAACCGCUUUCAGCAGGGACGAGGCCGCAAGGUGACGGUACC
rnacentral:rRNA from 1 species